ensembl:snRNA U6 U6 spliceosomal RNA
GUAUUUGCUUCGGCAGCACAUAUACUAAAAUUGGAAUGAUACAGAGAAGUUUAGUAUGGCCCCUGCACAAGCAUGACAUGCAAAUUCGUGAAGCAUUCCCUAUUUUU